rnacentral:rRNA from 1 species
CUUUUCGGGCCUUUUCGUGAUUUGGGCUAUAUUACGGAUCCAAAAUUACUUGUUCAAGCAUUGUUUUCGAAUUUUUUCAUGCAUCAAAGCUCGUUAAGACUAGAUGGGGUAUCCCUACAUAGCGGGUGGGACCCACGGCGAAUGGUUCAUCAAGUCUUCAAAAAAGAAUAUAUGCGAUUGCAUUGCAUAUACUAACGGAUGCGAUCAUACCAGCACUAAUGCACCGGAUCCCAUCAGAACUCCGCAGUUAAGCGUGCUUGGGCGAGAGUAGUACUAGGAUGGGUGACCUCCCGGGAAGUCCUCGUGUUGCAUCCCUCUUUUAUGUUUAACCUUUUUUUUUUUGGUUAAAACUUUAUGACUCCAUAACUUUUAGACCGUGAGGCCAAACUUGGCAUGUGAUACCUUUUCG